rnacentral:rRNA from 1 species
UACGUAGGGUGCAAGCGUUGUCCGGAUUGACUGGGCGUAAAGCGCACGCAGGCGGAUGCGCACGUGGGGUGUGAAAUCUGGCCGCUUAACGGCCAGGCGCCAUCCCAUACGGCGCGUCUGGAGUGAUGCAGAGGUCGAUGGAAUUGCCGGUGUAGUGGUGAAAUGCGUAGAGAUCGGCAGGAACACCCAGGGGGAAACCAGUCGACUGGGCAUCUACUGACGCUGAUGUGCGAGAGCGUGGGGAGCGAACCGG